GUUUUGUUGAUUCUUUAUGUAUUUAUUCUCAAAGUUUUAACAAAUUUUAAGAAAAAUACUUCAGAUAUAAGCUGUGAACACACAUGUACACAAAACUGUGCAACAUUCGUCAUCAUAUUGUAUCAAUUUGUCGGACUAUGGCGCUCAUAUUUGUGACAUUGUUUUGUUCGCUUUGGCAACCCUGCCAACCCUCGUAUAUAUCAGAUGCUGUUCGGCCUCAAAUGCGACUGAAUGAACACUGAUAGUGUUGCCUGGAAUAUGAAAUGAUAUUGACUGAUUGUUCCGUAUAUCAAGGUAGGUACUGUACAUUUAUACUGAAUUUAUUCCAUUUAUUUUCACACGUUGCUUUCACAUUUUCCCAGAGUCUCGGAAAUCACAUUUUCUAUUAAACACAGUUUCACACAUACAAGACUUCAUUUCACACAUACAGAAAGACUUUUAAUCAAAUUAUGAUAACAGUAUGAUAAUUAUGAUAACAGUAGAAAUUGCUUAGAAAGAUUUUAUUCUUUUUUCCAUAUACAGUACAACUGUUAUUUUGAUUUUCUCUUUCCUAUAUUUUCUUUAAUUAAAGCAGGUACUGUUCUGUUACAAAACAACUAAUAAACAUUUUAUUAUUUUAACAGGUGAACCAUAUUUUACAUCAACUUGGGAAAAGCCAACUUGAAUUCCAUGGAAAUAUAUAAUCAUGUCAUCAAUCAGAUAGUAAACAAUCAUUAAAAAUUAGAUGGCCUCAAGAUUAUAUUUCACAUUGACCAACAUGAAAAUUUUUAAAUGGGAAUGAGUUGAUGGCAUUAUAGUUUUCUAAUGUUCAUCAAGGUGAAGAAACUCACUAUACCUUUCCCUGGUACAGAGCCAUGGUAGUAAUCUUAGAAUGUUUUCAUGAUGCCUCUAUUCAGUAGUUCUUUAACCAGUUUAGUAUUAUGACUGUAUUAUUUUAAAUAGCCUUGUUUGACUUUUGUAUUUUGUUUCUUUAAUAAUACAAUCAUUUACAAUGGUGAAAAUUACAGUUUAAUAUUUGUAUUUCUAAUGAUAAUUACUUGCACAUAUCCAUCACACUUCUCUGUUACUAUAUUACUACCAUGCAAGUAAAAUCUCUUGGGAAAAAUAAAAUGUUAUCCCAGGAUGGUCAUAAAUAUCAGCUAAUAAACCUAAUGAAUAUACCCAUAAUCAUGUACAUAUGACUAUCAUAUAAUAUGUUGUAAUUCCUUUGAGUGUUUCAAAUCAAAUAAAUUUUUAUUUUCAGUUGUUCAUUGUUCAAACUUAUUUGAAACCUACAGUAUAUGUAGUUGCUAUCAUUCAGAUUAAUAUCCAAAAGUGUGCCUUUUACUUCAGUCCUUAUAGACUCCUCCCUAAUACAGACACUUUAUUGUGCCACUCCAAUGUUCAUUCAAAGUGAUCCAACUGACAUCUGAGCUGGUGAUAAUAUACAGCAAAGUAUUGGAACUAGGAGUAUAUCACAUAAGUUGUUCAUUCAGUCAAGACAUCCAGGUUGUGCUGAUCAUCAUAUCAAACUCCAUCACAUAUUGUGCCUUAAAAACAUAUAUACAAAUUUUAAAAGUUGUUGCAGCACACUGGG